rnacentral:rRNA from 1 species
UCCAGACUCCUACGGGAGGCAGCAGUGGGGAAUAUUGCACAAUGGGGGAAACCCUGAUGCAGCGACGCCGCGUGAGUGAAGAAGUAUUUCGGUAUGUAAAGCUCUAUCAGCAGGGAAGAAAAUGACGGUACCUGACUAAGAAGCCCCGGCUAACUACGUGCCAGCAGCCGCGGUAAUACGUAGGGGGCAAGCGUUAUCCGGAUUUACUGGGUGUAAAGGGAGCGUAGACGGCAUGGCAAGUCAGAUGUGAAAGCCCGGGGCUCAACCCCGGGACUGCAUUUGAAACUGUCAGGCUGGAGUGCAGGAGAGGUAAGUGGAAUUCCUAGUGUAGCGGUGAAAUGCGUAGAUAUUAGGAGGAACACCAGUGGCGAAGGCGGAUGACUGGACGGCAACUGACGGUGAGGCGCGAAAGCGUGGGGAGCAAACAGGAUUAGAUACCCCAGUAUGG